rnacentral:rRNA from 1 species
GACGUAGGGUGCAAGCGUUGUCCGGAAUUAUUGGGCGUAAAGAGCUCGUAGGCGGCUUGUCGCGUCGACUGUGAAAUCCCGCGGCUCAACUGCGGGUCUGCAGUCGAUACGGGCAGGCUAGAGUUCGGUAGGGGAGACUGGAAUUCCUGGUGUAGCGGUGAAAUGCGCAGAUAUCAGGAGGAACACCGGUGGCGAAGGCGGGUCUCUGGGCCGAUACUGACGCUGAGGAGCGAAAGCGUGGGGAGCGAACAGG